rnacentral:lncRNA from 1 species
AUUUCUGCAGAUUUUCUGAAAGCUGAUACUGUCUCUUUUAAGUUCUGAAUAUUUUCUCUCAUGUUCUUUUCUGCGAACCCUCCAAACUUCUUUUUUAUCUCAUGCUCCAGUUUUUUCGAAAGAUGUUCUCCUUACCUAGACCUUAAAUGUGUUUGAGUUGUGCUAUUUAUGUGUUUGUCUAUAGAGGGAUAUUUGAGCCUUUCACAUGCUUAUAUGAUUCCCCUUAUGUGCAAAUCCUAUUUGUUCUUGUAAGUCGUCUAGAAUUUUAACCUUUCAACCUAGGGGGUCCAACCUAGUUCUCACCUUAUAGGAAUAGUGAUCGUAAAUAUCCUCUAGGAUCUAUAGAAUAGGACAGAAUUUUAACUUUUGAACCUAAGGGGUCCAGCCUACUUCUCACCUUAUAGGAAUAGUGAUCUUAAAUGCCCUCUAGGAUCUACAGAAUGGGACGGGUAAUAGCACGCAAUAAGCAUUUGUGACCAAUCCACACGCUUAAAUAACCUUUACGGGUGAGAAUGGUAGAAUAUGGAGAUGAUGAGGAUACAAUAAUAUCAUAAAGCGACCCCUUUUUGGGAACAUGUGCGAAUAUUGUAUCGAAUGAUCCAUAUUAUAGUUAAACCUAGGACCCUCCUUGCUUUUCCUUUGUUGAAAUGUUUUCUUUAAAAUUCCCUUUUACUUGUGCUAUCCUUCUUUGUCAAUCUGCUCGUAUUCUUUAUGUGCAAAACUUUGCUUGUUUAUUUCUAUGCUUUCUUAAAGUCACAUCUAAGCGAGGCCGGGAACCACACUAGUGGAUCUUGAGGGGUGCCUAACUCCUUCCACUCGAG